ACGAGACCAAGUGGAGAAUCAAGGAAUGUACUUAAAAAUCUUGGACUAUAUAAAUAAUACAUGUGAAGCCCAUAUCCAAAUCAUGUAUCAUACCUAACAUGGCAUAAGCAAAUGUAUCCUAGUGUAGUUACACAGGACUUUGCAUUGUAACUUCAGAGAGUUGGUCAGGAAAGAGUAGUACCCAAGGACUCUGCAAAUCAACAUUGGAAACAGAUGGUAGGAGCAGUUUGAACUUGAGCCAAGCUCUUUGGGUUACAAAGCACUUUUCAAAUUCAUUUUGCUAUCCAUAGAGAGAGAUAAAUCACACCUAUUAACUUACCUAAUUGUCCUUGGCUUGCAAUGUGAGGUUCAGUCUUGUACUCCUUUAACUUUCAUUUCAUAACCAUUUGAGACACAAGACAGUAUUUCACAAGAUGCCUUGCAGUGGGCUAGUGACUUCUGUUCAAUAUCCUUAAGUUAUUACUUAGAAAAUACCAGAAUUCCCUUAAUACCAUUUAUGUCAAUUUGCUCAGCACAUUGUUCUUUGUAGAACUGAUGGCUUCCACUCCCCCUCCCCUACUUUUUUGAAGCCACCGUUAAUAUACCGGGGAAACAGACUCCGUUUGAACAGUUAUCAAAGGACAAUUAUGAAAUGUAAAUAUGAAAGGCUGUAAUAUGAUGCCACAAAUUUAAAAAAAAAUUGUCCUCCCAAAACACUUAGAGCUUGGGUGCGACAUGCCUGUUUCAGGAAAUAUUUUAUAGGAGUAUUUUAUAAGAAAUAUUCUUGGAAAAUCUAAACUACCUUUUCCUUUCCUCUUCUGCUUUUCCAAAAAGAACAUUUUCCUCAUAUUAUUUGCUGAGCAAUUCUCGAUUACAAAAAAAUGGGUCACUUGUGGAAGAAAGAAGUCCUUUUCUAGUUGGACAACUUGUUUAGAAAUUGAAAAGUGUUCAAGCAGAGACUGGUUGACUACUUGCAAACUGUGGGAGGAAUUCCUAUACCAUGGUAUAAAACCAGAUGACUUUCAAGGUUUCUGCCAUUCAUGAAUCCAGAAGAACGGGAGGUGAAGAGGAGGAUGAGGAGGAAGAGGGGAACCAAAAGAAAGGAGACAGGAGAGGAAGAGGAAGAAGGAGAAGACAACUCAAGGGAUCAGGAAUGGGAACUUGCAGGCCAGUGAGUUCCAGGAGGUAUGUGAUUUUAGUCAAGAGGUUAUCACCACAGGGACACCUGGCUGGCUCAGUCAGAAGAGCAUGUGACUCUUGAGCUCUAGGUUGUGAGUUCGAGCCCUAUGUUGGGUGUAGAACUUAAAAAAACUUAAAACUUAAGUUUUAAGUAAAACUUAAAAAAGAAAAAAGAGGUCACCACCACAGAGACUUAGUGCAAAAAGAGGGAACACUGAGAGGAUGAAUCUGAGGUCAGUGUGUGUGACUGCUAGGAAAAUCAGAUGAUAUAGAAAGGACAGAAAGGCACCCUUUCCAAUGAAGCAGA